rnacentral:rRNA from 1 species
CCUACGGGGGGCAGCAGUGAGGAAUAUUGGUCAAUGGACGAGAGUCUGAACCAGCCAAGUAGCGUGAAGGAUGACUGCCCUAUGGGUUGUAAACUUCUUUUAUAAAGGAAUAAAACGAGGCACGUGUGCCUUUUUGCAUGUACUUUAUGAAUAAGGAUCGGCUAACUCCGUGCUAGCAGCCGCGGUAAUACGGAGGAUCCGAGCGUUAUCCGGAUUUAUUGGGUUUAAAGGGAGCGUAGAUGGGUUGUUAAGUCAGUUGUGAAAGUUUGCGGCUCAACCGUAAAAUUGCAAUUGAUACUGGCAGUCGUGAGUACAGUUGAGGUAGGCGGAAUUCGUGGUGUAGCGGUGAAAUGCUUAGAUAUCACGAAGAACCCCGAUUGCGAAGGCAGCUUACUAAACUGUGACUGACAUUGAUGCUCGAAAGUGUGGGUAUCAAACAGGAUUAGAUACCCGGGUAGUC